AAAAGUCUGAAGACGCUUAUGUCCAAGGGGAUUCUGCAGGUGCACCCUCCGAUCUGCGACUGUCCGGGCUGUCGAAUAUCCUCCCCGGUGAACCGGGGGCGGCUGGCAGACAAGAGGACAGUUGCCCUGCCCACUGCACGGGUCCUAAAGAAGGAGCUGACCCCCAGCUUCUCGUCCCGUGAUGGUGACAGCGAUGGGAGUGGCCCAGCCUGUGGGCGGCAACCAGGCUUGAAACAGGGGGACACCCCACAUGUCCCUCUCAUGAGGAGAAGAGUCCACACCCACUGGGACGUGAACAUCUCCUUCCGAGAGACGUCCUGCAGGUAGG